CCUACGGGAGGCAGCAGUGGGGAAUAUUGCACAAUGGGGGAAACCCUGAUGCAGCGACGCCGCGUGCGUGAAGAAGUAUUUCGGUAUGUAAAGCUCUAUCAGCAGGGAAGAAAAUGACGGUACCUGACCAAGAAGCCCCGGCUAACUACGUGCCAGCAGCCGCGGCAAUACGUAGGGGGCCAGCGUUAUCCGGAUUUACUGGGUGUAAGGGGAGCGUAGACGGUUGCACAAGUCGGGAGGAAAAGCCCGGGGUCAACCCCGGUACUGCUUUGGAAAACUCUUAACUGGAGUGGCGGAGAGGUAAGUGGAAUUCCUGGUGUAGCGGUGAAAUGCGUAGAUAUCAGGAGGAACACCGGUGGCGAAGGCAGCUUACUGGACUGUAACUGACGUUGAGGCACGAAAGCGUGGGGAGCGAACAGGAUUAGAUACCCGAGUAGUC
rnacentral:rRNA from 1 species